GAUGAACGCUAGCGGCAGGCUUAACACAUGCAAGUCGAGGGGUAACAGGGUGCUUGCACCGCUGACGACCGGCGCACGGGUGCGUAACGCGUAUAGAACCUACCUUUUACAGGGGAAUAGCCCAGAGAAAUUUGGAUUAAUGCCCCAUAGUAUUAUAGAAUGGCAUCAUUUUAUAAUUAAACAUUUAUGGGUAAAAGAUGGCUAUGCGUUCUAUUAGCUAGAUGGUAAGGUAACGGCUUACCAUGGCAACGAUAGAUAGGGGUCCUGAGAGGGAGAUCCCCCACACUGGUACUGAGACAGGGACCAGACUCCUACGGGAGGCAGCAGUGAGGAAUAUUGGACAAUGGAGGCAACUCUGAUCCAGCCAUGCCGCGUGCAGGAAGACGGUCCUAUGGAUUGUAAACUGCUUUUAUACACCAAGAAAAAUCCCCACGUGUGGGGACUCGACGG
rnacentral:rRNA from 1 species